GUUUUAAAGCUGACAGUUCAACUCUUUCAGUCACACAGAGAGAAUGUCUUCAUUGGGGCUCCUCCUCUGCACACUGCUACUGCUUGCUCAAGAGUCCUGUAGUCAGAUUGUCAUGACUCAGUCUCCUACAGUGAGGUCUAAUCUCCAAGGAGAAAGAGUCACUCUGAGCUGCAAAUCUAGUCAGCAGGUUUAUCAUCUGAGCUGGUACCAUCAGAGGACUGGAGAGGCUCCUAGACUCCUGAUCCACACUAAAGACACUCGAGCCUCUGGGAUCCCAGACAGAUUCACUGGCAGCUACAGUGGAGGCAGCAGCAGUGGUUAUGGGACUGACUUCACUCUGACUAUCACUGGAGUCCAGGCUGAAGAUGCAGGAGAUUACUACUGUUUGCAGUAUGAUAGCUUGCCUCUCACACAGUGAUACAUGUCUGUACAAAAACCUCCCUCGGCUCUACAGGAGCUGCUCUGGCUCAUAAACAGGAACCACAGAGAACUGAGGCUGAGAACAGCUGCUGAGCCGCUACAGUUUGACUGUAAAUGUGCUGGAGUGCAAUCAUUACAUUCUUAUUUAAACAUAAUGCCAUACGACAUACAGUACUUUCUAUACAUAAAACGUUUCAGAAACACAUAGAACAGAUCAAAGGAAGAAUGAAUUGGAAAUUGUCCCUAAACUGCCAGCUAGAGAACAUUAUUUUUGGUGUGUUACAAUGAGCUUGAAAGAAAGAAUAGCAGUCAUUCAAUAUUAUAGCUGACAUGUUCUCUCUAAUUUUGGAAUCUGAAAUCAGGAUUCAAGUGAAAGAUGGAUUUGUGAAAUCUGGUAAUGGUAAAAAUGAUAUACACUAUGCCAGUGGUUCUCAAACUUUUUGGACCA